rnacentral:lncRNA from 1 species
UAUAAAAGUAAAAGUUAAAAAGAUUACAUCUGACGCAAAAAAAUCUUUCAAAGGCAACUUUUAAGUUACUGUAAUAUUAAGAUGAGAACAGCCGCUGCUUUAUUUGCAUUUCUUUUUCUUUUCAAAUAUGUAUCUGCCAAUAGUUUGUCAGUAAAACUGCCCACUAAAUGCGAAGAUGUUCUUACAGCUGAUACCUGUGCUUCAUUAAAAGCAGUGGCAGUCAAGUUGCGCGUAAAUGUUCAGCUUGUCCAUGAAGCUGUUAUUAGUGCCGUUGAAAAAAGUAUACAAAACACACAGGAUGUAAUUAUUUUUGUUAGAGAUACUUUGGUAAAAAAAGCAACUAACUUUCAAUGCACUGAUGCUCUCACUGCAGAG